GAGCCGGGUGUGAUCUCUGGGUGGUCAACUCCAGCACCCUCCUACCCCCCUGCACCCUCUGACAGCUAUGCCCCCCACUUCCAGAAGACACCUCUCUGUGGAUCUGACUUCUCAGCUAGAGUUCCUUGGAGAGAAUUAUUAACCAGCUCCAUCAAAACCGGAACGUGAGCAGUCAAGGAGAAAAAGAGCUGGCGAGAGAAACUUCUUGAAAAAUACCUCACCACCAUUAGCCCAGGCCCACUGUGAAGCAGGCCCGACAGCACAGCAUGUUCUGCUUAGGAGAUCCAGGAAGCUCUGGCCUGGCCCUCCCUUCGAGAAAGGAAAGUCCAAGUAAAGAGGGAUGCCACACCCUGGGGGAGGGGAGAGAGGAUGUGACGACACCUCCAGGAAUGCAGGGCCCACGCAGGUGUGUUGGCACCCACAAACUUCCUUUUAAAAAGAGCCUGAUAAAUCAGGACUGAUAACAGCAAUAAAGCUCAACCACCCAACCAUCGCCCACACAGAGAUGAGGCCCUUGUUCCCAGGGCGUGGCCCUGGCGGCUGGGGAAAGGAGGGUGACACCUGAGAAUGGAGAUCCCUCAGGAC